ACCGGAGUACUAUGAAUUUGGAGAUUUAAAACUCAAAGAACUUGGCGGUGUUUUAGACCAUUUAGGGGAACCUGUCUCAUAAUCGACAAUCCACGUUGUACCUGACCUUUCUUUGUUUUCAGUUUGUAUACCGUUGUCGUCAGGUAACUUUUUAGAACAUAAAAGUUGGCUGGAUAAAUAGGAUAAUUUAACACGUCAAAUCAAGGUGCAGCUAAUAGGAAGGGGAGGAUGGGUUACAGUUGUAUAUUUACAAUUACGGAUAGUUACAUGAAAGUGGGCUAUGAAGGCGGACUUAAAAGUAAAUUAUAAUAUAAGAGUAACUUGAAUAAGGCUCUGAAACGUGU
rnacentral:rRNA from 1 species